rnacentral:lncRNA from 1 species
UAUUCAUUCAAAAGAUUUGUUCUAUUUCAUAGCAAAUUAAACAAUCCAUCAUUUUUGCUAAUAGAAAGGAGUAGAGUGAAAAAUCCUCACUUCACUUUGUUUAGGCUAUUACUUCAAUAACUUCUUAAUUAAAAUCAUUUUUUAUAUGUUCAUUUCAAAAAAAUUAGAAGACAAAUGACACUUUGUGAGCAAAUAUAAUAAAUAAAU